rnacentral:rRNA from 1 species
UAUGAAGGGUGCAAGCGUUAAUCGGAAUUACUGGGCGUAAAGCGCGCGUAGGUGGUUUGGUAAGAUGGAUGUGAAAUCCCCGGGCUCAACCUGGGAACUGCAUCCAUAACUGCCUGACUAGAGUACGGUAGAGGGUGGUGGAAUUUCCUGUGUAGCGGUGAAAUGCGUAGAUAUAGGAAGGAACACCAGUGGCGAAGGCGACCACCUGGACUGAUACUGACACUGAGGUGCGAAAGCGUGGGGAGCAAACAGG